GCUCAACUGAGGAAUUGCUUUGGAAACUGGAUGACUUGAGUGCAGUAGAGGAAAGUGGAACUCCAUGUGUAGCGGUGAAAUGCGUAGAUAUAUGGAAGAACACCAGUGGCGAAGGCGGCUUUCUGGACUGUAACUGACGUUGAGGCUCGAAAGUGUGGGUAGCAAACAGGAUUAGAUACCCUGGUAGUCCACACCGUAAACGAUGAGUGCUAGGUGUUUGAGGGUUUCCGCCCUUAAGUGCCGCAGCUAACGCAUUAAGCACUCCGCCUGGGGAGUACGACCGCAAGGUUGAAACUCAAAGGAAUUGACGGGGACCCGCACAAGCGGUGGAGCACGUGGUUUAAUUCGAAGCAACGCGAAGAACCUUACCAGGUCUUGACAUCCCUUGACAACUCCAGAGAUGGAGCGUCCCCUUCGGGGACAAGGUGACAGGUGGUGCAUGGUUGUCGUCAGCUCGUGUCGUGAGAUGUUGGGUUAAGUCCCGCAACGAGCGCAACCCUUAUUACUAGUUGCCAGCAUUCAGUUGGGCACUCUAGUGAGACUGCCGGUGACAAACCGGAGGAAGGUGGGGAUGACGUCAAAUCAUCAUGCCCCUUAUGACCUGGGCUACACACGUGCUACAAUGGCGUAUACAACG
rnacentral:rRNA from 1 species